rnacentral:rRNA from 1 species
UACGUAGGGUGCGAGCGUUAAUCGGAGUUACUGGGCGUAAAGCGUGCGCAGGCGGUUUUGUAAGCCAGAUGUGAAAUCCCCGGGCUUAACCUGGGAAUGGCAUUUGGGACUGCAAGGCUUGAGUGCGGCAGAGGAGACUGGAAUUCCUGGUGUAGCAGUGAAAUGCGUAGAUAUCAGGAGGAAUACCGAUGGCGAAGGCAGGUCUCUGGGCUGACACUGACGCUCAUGCACGAAAGCGUGGGGAGCAAACAGG